rnacentral:rRNA from 1 species
GGGGGAUAUUGGACAAUGGGGGCAACCCUGAUCCAGCGACGCCGCGUGAGGGAAGAAGGUUUUCGGAUUGUAAACCUCUGUUGACGGAGAAAAAAAUGAUGGUAUCCGUUUAGAAAGCCACGGCUAACUACGUGCCAGCAGCCGCGGUAAUACGUAGGUGGCAAGCGUUGUCCGGAAUUACUGGGUGUAAAGGGAGUGUAGGCGGGAUGUCAAGUCAGAAGUGAAAAUUACGGGCUCAACUCGUAACCUGCUUUUGAAACUGACAUUCUUGAGUGAAGUAGAGGCAAGCGGAAUUCCUAGUGUAGCGGUGAAAUGCGUAGAUAUUAGGAGGAACACCAGUGGCGAAGGCGGCUUGCUGGGCUUUUACUGACGCUGAGGCUCGAAAGCGUGGGGAGCAAAC